UCGAGGAUCUUCGGCAAUGCGCGCAAGCGCGACCGAGCGACGCCGCGUGGGCGAUGAAGGCCUUCGGGUUGUAAAGCCCUGUCGAGGGGGAGAAAAGCGGGAAACCGUGUGAUCUAUCCCUGGAGGAAGCUCGGGCUAAGUUCGUGCCAGCAGCCGCGGUAAGACGAACCGAGCGAACGUUGUUCGGAAUCACUGGGCUUAAAGGGUGCGUAGGCGGGCUGCCAAGUUUGGGGUGAAAUCCUCCGGCUCAACCGGGGAAGUGCCUCGAAUACUGGACGGUCUGGAGGGAGGUAGGGGCGUGCGGAACUAACGGUGGAGCGGUGAAAUGCGUUGAUAUCGUUAGGACUCCGGUGGCGAAGGCGGCACGCUGGACCUUCACUGACGCUGAGGCACGAAAGCCAGGGGAGCGAACGGGAUUAGAUACCCCGGUAGUCCUGGCCCUAAACGUUGAGAACUAGGUAGCGAGGCCGGACAUGGGUUUGCGUGCCGGAGCAAAAGUG
rnacentral:rRNA from 1 species